CCACUUGGUAUUUAAGUACAAAUAUCGACUACCAAACCUUUUUUGUAUCCAUUUAUCCACUCUCCUCAAAAAGUCUCUCUUUCACAUUGAUCUCGUGUUCCUUUAUCAUCAUCAGCUGCCAUAAACAAACAGAGUUUCUCAUUUCGGACAUCAGCUAAAAAAAAUGAAGUUUGAAGGAUCGCAAACACUCUUACCCGUGAGGAAACCUGUAAAUGGAGGUUGUCUCACUCUCAGCCGCGAUCGCAAACGUGCUGGUUAUAAGCUUUGGGUUCUAGUCGCAGUUCUACUCUUGGCCUUUGGUUCUAUGUUAACCGGUUCCGUC
rnacentral:lncRNA from 1 species